rnacentral:lncRNA from 1 species
GACAGCACUGUAGCUGGUCAGGGAGAGAGAGAGACCACUGACUCCCUCGCAGAUGGCAUCGGAACACAGACAAGGGACAAGAUCCAGAGUGAUACGGGCUACUCUAGAAACAGGGCCACGAGCCACAGACUAACCUGGAAACCAGACCAGGGCCCAGCUUGUCAGCGAGGGGACAGAUAAUGGACUCCCUGAGCCGUGGCAUCAAGCUAGCCACCCACAGUGCAGCCCUGGCUAUUAAGAGGCACAAAUGUCGGACACAUGGGAGACCUUGCUGCCUACAGACAAACCUUGAUCUACAUCUGUAUUGCCAAUUACUUGCUCAACAAACCUGUUACUUUUUUGGAAAUAAUAAAUAAUUCAGGGAAAAUCA